rnacentral:rRNA from 1 species
AGAGUUUGAUCCUGGCUCAGAGCGAACGCUGGCGGCGUGCUUAACACAUGCAAGUCGAACGCGCAGCAUUCUGUAGCAAUACAGGGUGUGGGCGCGUGGCGAACGGGUGCGUAACACGUGGAUAACCUUCCUUCAGGUGGGGAAUAACCCAGUGAAAAUUGGGCUAAUACCGCAUAACAUGACGAUGGCACAUGCUGUUGUCUUCAAAGGCGCAAGUCGCCAGAAGAGGGAUCCGCGGCCGAUUAGCUUGUUGGCGAGGUAAUGGCUCACCAAGGCAUUGAUCGGUAGCCGGACUGAGAGGUUGACCGGCCACACUGGAACUGAGACACGGUCCAGACUCCUACGGGAGGCAGCAGUGGGGAAUCUUGCACAAUGGACGAAAGUCUGAUGCAGCAACGCCGCGUGGGGGAGGAAGCUUCUCGGAGUGUAAACCCCUUUCGACCCG